ensembl:snoRNA SNORD34 Small nucleolar RNA SNORD34
UUUCAUCCCUGAUGUUCUGCAAUUACCUUCAUUGUUUGAUCCUCAUGAAAACAGCACUGUAUAUAUUAUGCAU